rfam:Gossypium hirsutum cultivar TM-1 chromosome 6, whole genome shotgun sequence
AAUCUAUGGUGUAGGCACUUCUAAAUUAGCAUAUUAAAAAGCUCCCAUACUUCAUGAAAGCUUUCCCUUUCUAAUUGUUUGAACAUCGAAAUUUCCCUUCUUAGUUU